AUGGAUGGCAAUGAUAAACAUAAUCUCAGAUUUAAUUUGCUCAGUGAAAAUAAAGAUGUUUCUUAACGAUGGAUUCAAAUUCUUACUUGCACCUCCAACCAAAAUUAUUUUGCUCAUAAAUAAUCAACAAACUACAUCAUCAGAUUUAAUCUUCUUAUUGCUAGAUGCAUCAUAAUCGUUCCAGUUUCUAAUCAAUCUUCUUGUCAUAGUCAUUCCUGCACUUGCACUUACAACAGACGAAACACGUGUUCUUGGUGAUCAUACAAGCCUUGUAAUAAAAAAAUAGUAAUCAAACACGAGAAUUAACAAGAUUCACAAGUGAAAACAAAUACAAAUUUUUUUUGAGCAUAUACAUGACUUUUUCCUAUGUCAUUUCUUCUUGUAAUCAGAAGCAAAAUACCAAGUUUAGACAAACCCUAAAAACUCCAAACACUUGAACAAACAUUAUAUUAUUUUUCCAACUAUCACAGAUAAUCAUAAUCAACAAAGCUUUAAUAAUUAUAUGAUCACAGGACAUCAUUAUUUUAAUCCUCAAUGCUCAAAAAAUUAAGAAUCACAAUCAAAUUUUGGUUAUUACCCUAAGUUGAUUGCUUAGAAUUACUAGUAAUAACUUUAAAAGCAAAUCCAAACAGCCCUAAAUUGAUAAGUUUAGGGAAAAACAUGAGAGCAACAUUUUUUAGAAAAAAUCUAAAAACAUGUAUGCCAAUUUAGAAUUUUGGUUGAAAGCAAAUUUGAUGUACAAAAACCACAUAUAUACAAUAAAUAAAUGCCAUAACUUUACUUAUAAUAGAAAAACAUGUAUAGAAGAAGAAAACUACUUACAAAGAGGCCGAUGAGGAGUGGUGGUCUCAAAGAAACGCAUCUAAUUCCAAAUGUAGAAACUGCAAAAAAAAAAAUCAUCAAAAUUAAUGAUAUAGGACAGAAAUCAAGAGUUUGAAGGAUAGAAAAUAUAAGGUACUUGCAAUGAUAAGCCUUCCACCAGUAGAUGACAAGUAGAUGACAACUGCAACUCAUAUUCUGAUCUAUUACCAAAAGGGCAUUUACGUCUUUUUGCAUAGUAAUGAAGUAAUAUAAAGUAAUGAGUACUGACCUUGACUUGCUUAAUGAAAGAAACAGCAUUCAACAUUCCACUUCUUGAUAAUCAGACCAAAUUAAAGCGUUAUAAGAAGAGAUUUAGGGAUUUAAAACAUAAUAGGAAGAUAUAAAUCAUAAUUAGAAGAGAUAUAUCUCUGCAUCUACAGUAUUGACACUUCCCUUAUGCAUGAUUUAGAUCUUUAGCAAGCUCAUAUGUAAUCAAUACCAAUCGAAUGUAGUGAUUGCAUGUAAUCAAACCUGAAAACAAAAAGAAAUUCCUCAACAUUUUUAUAUCCCCUUCUUAAUUACAAUUGAGAACAAAUUUGUGGAAAGACUUAUCAAAAACAUCAUAGAAGAUCAACUCCUAACUUAUCAACAAGAGUGUCACCUAAUCAGCAAUCUCAAAUAAAACAUGUUUAGGGCUUACCUUUACACUCGAUUAUAGGCUUCUAAGCUCUUGUACUGUUGAGAUGAAGACCCAAAAAAAACCGAGAAAACACCAAUGGGGAUAUGGGGCUAUUUCGUGAGAAACUCAUUGAAAAAUGUUCUGAUAGGAGAAGGAAGGAGCCUAAUGGCAUCGAUCCUAGAAUUCUUAAUUCCAUCUCAACUCGAUUCGUGAUCUGACUUGGCACAUUAUCCAGAUCGACGGUUUUAUAUUGUUUUCUCCACAAAAUCGUCAGUACCUUGAUUAUGAAGAGAAGUUGUUCAUACUAUUUUCAACCAGCCAAUAGAGGAUGAACAAGGGUUAGGGGAAACACGAUCGACGAUAUGGGCUAAGGCGCGAUGUGGAGGAGCCAGGGUGGAGGGACGGAUAGGUAACGAUGACCCCAUGAGAGAAAAACGAAAUAACGAACCCUAGUGGUUUAGAUUAUGUUGGGGGUAAUGGGAAUUUGGAAACCUGAGCGGGAUGUGAGUUGAUUUUCAAUAUUCAGGAUUGACAUCUUCGAUUGUCGAUAGCAGACGUUUAGAUCGAUGGUGCAAUGGAGAACGCGAACAUUGAAGAUAAUAGAUAUUAGGUUUAAAGAGGAGGGAAUUACUAAAUCUAAAAAAUUUCACGUAGAGGGAAUCUGAAACUUUU
rnacentral:lncRNA from 1 species